rnacentral:tRNA from 1 species
GGGUUAAGUAUACAGAUGGUUCUGUAGUGGACCUGCAAAGUCUUUAAAGUUAGGGUUCGAUUCCUUCUUAACUCU